UGUAUGCCCUAACCGCUCAGU
rnacentral:ncRNA from 2 species